CUGAGGGAACUGUGCUGGAGCGCUCUGGGCAGUGGAGCAAGGGGACACCCGGCCCUUGGGACAAGGAUUCUCCAGAGGAAGAAGACACUCUGGAGGAUCUCAGCAGCCUGGAAGAGGACAUCCUGGACUCCCUGGACCGCCUUCUUAAAUAAGAAGAGAUGCUUCCUCAGAUUCCCCUCCAGAGGUCAGCUUGGAGGAGGAGGAACCAGCCCCAGGCACCUCGGGAGG